rnacentral:rRNA from 1 species
GGAGGUUAGUGCAAUGGCAUAAGCCAGCUUGACUGCGAGCGUGACGGCGCGAGCAGGUGCGAAAGCAGGUCAUAGUGAUCCGGUGGUUCUGAAUGGAAGGGCCAUCGCUCAACGGAUAAAAGGUACUCCGGGGAUAACAGGCUGAUACCGCCCAAGAGUUCAUAUCGACGGCGGUGUUUGGCACCUCGAUGUCGGCUCAUCACAUCCUGGGGCUGAAGUAGGUCCCAAGGGUAUGGCUGUUCGCCAUUUAAAGUGGUACGCGAGCUGGGUUUAGAACGUCGUGAGACAGUUCGGUCCCUAUCUGCCGUGGGCGCUGGAGAACUGAGGGGGGCUGCUCCUAGUACGAGAGGACCGGAGUGGACGCAUCACUGGUGUUCGGGUUGUCAUGCCAAUGGCACUGCCCGGUAGCUAAAUGCGGAAGAGAUAAGUGCUGAAAGCAUCUAAGCACGAAACUUGCCCCGAGAUGAGUUCUCCCUGACCCUUUAAGGGUCCUGAAGGAACGUUGAAGACGACGACGUUGAUAGGCCGGGUGUGUAAGCGCAGCGAUGCGUUGAGCUAACCGGUACUAAUGAACCGUGAGGCUUAACCUUACAACGCCGAAGCUGUU